UUGCACGCUGGCGGCAUGCUUUACACAUGCAAGUCGGACGGCAGCACAGAGAAGCUUGCUUCUUGGGUGGCGAGUGGCGAACGGGUGAGUAAUAUAUCGGAACGUACCGAGUAAUGGGGGAUAACUAAUCGAAAGAUUAGCUAAUACCGCAUAUUCUCUGAGGAGGAAAGCAGGGGACCUUCGGGCCUUGCGUUAUUCGAGCGGCCGAUAUCUGAUUAGCUAGUUGGUGGGGUAAAGGCCUACCAAGGCGACGAUCAGUAGCGGGUCUGAGAGGAUGAUCCGCCACACUGGGACUGAGACACGGCCCAGACUCCUACGGGAGGCAGCAGUGGGGAAUUUUGGACAAUGGGCGCAAGCCUGAUCCAGCCAUGCCGCGUGUCUGAAGAAGGCCUUCGGGUUGUAAAGGACUUUUGUCAGGGAAGAAAAGGCUGUUGCUAAUAUCGACAGCUGAUGACGGUACCUGAAGAAUAAGCACCGGCUAACUACGUG
rnacentral:rRNA from 1 species